CUACCAAAAGCACACUCUUUGCUACUCCUUCUAUUCUGUGUGUGGUUUUGAAAACUUACACUAGUAAAAAUGCUGUAUCUGAAUGUAACUUCUUGCAGCACACCUUUCCAGACAGGGAAAAAAAAUGCCAAGAAAUUAACCAGGAGAUUUUGACAUGUGUCUUCUGAACAGCAAGCUAAUUCUCAGCUUCCACACUUUGUGCUAUUUGAAUUGCGCUUUGCAGUCACAUGCUUCAAGCUAAUUGCUCCCAUGCAAAGCCUGUAGGAAGCAGAAAAGCAAAGUUCCUGUGGCAUAGUGACUGUUCUGGAGAAUGCUGUCAGUGAAUUUUCCAUUGCUGGGCACAUAUAAUGAAUGAGAAAAAGUGCAGAGAGCUUUGAGGAAUGGAUGAGCAGUUCCUUCCCUGCACUCCAGAACAUGAUGACUUGCAGCAAAUAUUUUUCGUCUGCAAUGGUAAUAAAUGUCUUUGAAGGAUCGAGGGAAGAGCUACUGAUAAAAUUUAUGUGAGACGACUACUGUACCUUCUGAUGUUCCUUGGUGAAAGGGAUUUUCAUAGAUAUUUCCCACUCCUCUCACAUACCUGAACCUCUAGUUGGGGAUGGGGGAACAAAAUCCCAGGUUAAAGGAAAUCUAGAAGGAUCAACCCUUUCUUAUCCCCAAAGACAGUGCACAUCAUUUUACCUGCUGAGGGCUUGAGCUUUUUAUUCAAUGAGACAUUCACUUAGCUUCUCCAUGGACUGCUGUUUUGUCUCUGGCUCAUAGUGGUGACACUGCAUCUCGUCACCUGCAGCCUUGUAUAGGUUCAGUUGGUUCGAAAAACUUGCAUAUGGUGUUCUUUCUGCGCCUGUGUGAGCAUUUGUGAGACUCACUUUGCAAAAACUUUGUGAUAUUUCAACAUUGCUGUCAUCCUUUGCAAGGCAUUGAAGCCAAUAAUCAGCUCCAUACACAGUUCUGUGGUCACAGUCCUCUGAUUUACAUGGAUGAACUGAUAGAGAUACUCUUCACUUCAUAGCAUGACAGCUGAGCGUUGGCUGCCUAGAACAUGGCUUGCCUUUCACAUUUUGACAUUAUGGGCAAACAUGAUAAAAUAGAAGGCAUUGCUUUUGGAGCAGCCCACGUAGUUUAAAGUGUGAACCCAAGUCUGUGAUUGAACCUCAAUGUUUUCAGGCAGUGGGUUUGGUCUAAAUUCUGCACUGAAGCUUGCUCUUAAUAGAGGUCUCUGCAAAUCCCAAACUGCAGGUGGCCAUGAUUGCCUCCCCAAAUCUUCUGUCAAACAUCCUAUGAUAUUCUAAGUGAAGAUGUGGUAGAUUGACUAGGCUCCUUUCUAGCAGAGUCUGAAAUAUCACAAACUGUGUGCAGCUGGAGAACAGAUGUUGUCUUGCUGGAAAACUGGUUGCAGAAAUCAUGGUUUGGCUUAUUUUUGGAACUCUGUUCAACAUAGCCUUUGAGUAUUUUCUGGCUUCUCUUUACUUUUAUCAGUGAAUACUAUAGUUUUACAUCACACAUUGGGUUAACUUUUGCAGUCAGUUGCAAUUGCAACAGGUUCUAAUCAAUGGUGCUGAAAGUGUCAUAGUCUUAAAAAGCAAAUCUGACUCCAGAUAUUUCAAACCUGCCAUUUGCUGCAAAACAGAACUAGUCAUGUGGGAGAUGCCUUGGGUGCAUAAAGUUCAAGAUCAAAAUGAUAAUGUACCAGUGAAAUUUAACAAGCUGUGGCAAUUGUUCAUAAAACAAGACCAGGUCCAUGAAGCUUCCUAUUGCCUUUGUAUUACACAUAAAUAUAUCCUCUCCUACAUGCACGUAUCUAUCAUAUGAAUAUCCUUUACAUGUCCUUCAUAUUUGUUUUAUAUAUUAAGAAUAUGCAUGUAUCUUUACAAAAUUGUUAACCCUUAAAAUAACUUUAGUAUCUCCAUAGGUAUGAAUUAGAUUGCUUAUUUUGGUUUCUUCUACUUAAUCUGGGAGUGCAUUCUUUAAUAAUAGCUCACUCUUAAUGAGUGCAGUCAUCCCAAACUCAUGCCAGAAAAAACACUGUACUGCAGUGUUCUCUCAUGUAUUACAUUCAUUAUCUGACUGAAGGGCUGCACUCCUCCAUACAGUUACACUGAGGUCGAACAUAAAAAUGUGUAAAUGUGUGUACUUGUAAUAGGAAUAUGCUUUGAGGGUUAGAUCUGUUUAAACGAAGGCAGAAAUUAUCUCAUAUAUUUUUGCCAAAUCUUGAUCUCUACUUUAAAAAGACCAAUAUUUGCAAAGCAUAUCCAUGGCAGCUAUAAUAAUAAACUGUAUCUUAAAGCAGUGAGACAGUCUUCAAGAUCCGCCCUGAAUUUGGAUAAAAGGAUAAGCAGCCGGAGACAACAGUGUGUAACAAUUGUUAACUAUAAGACAAACAAAUUAAAACUAUACAGUAAAUGAAGUCAUAAUAUUUCAAAUUAACUGCAAAUGUUCAGCACAGUUUUAAAAUAUGGAAAAUAAAUUAGAUAGGCACAAUUUGACUUGUUUUGCUAUCCCAAACAUUUGUAGUUGAUUUUUAUGUGAUGAGGUUUGUGGGGUUUUUUUUUUUUUUAGUUUAAUUGAAUAGGAUCUGUGUUUUCCUAGGGAUGUCCAAUGCCCUGGCAAAGGCUCAAGGAUCAUAGAAUCAUCAAAUCACAGAAUGUCCUGGGUAGAAAAGGACGCAAGACAUGUGGGGCAGAAAGACUGAAGAGCUGGGAGUUGGGCUUGGUGUGUGCACAUGUAUGUAGAAAGACAGGGUGAUGGGAAAUCUGUGCAGUGGUAUGCCUGUUGCAUUGCUUAGAUAAAGAAAAGACAUUUCUCUAAGCCCAGCACCACAAAUCUUUGAGGUCCAAAUACCAAGAAAUCAUCAACAAUGAAGUAAGGGAGCAGUUACUGAUUCCUAAUGGACAUCUUUCUCUCUGCAGCUGAACUUAGUAGCUGUGUACAAGUUGAAGAAAAGGUUUCUUUCCUCCUUGCAAUUGCCCUGAGCGUCUGCAAGGAGGUUUUGAUCAAAUCUUUCAACCACUUCAUAGAAACUGAAUCAUGUCUGAAUGAUACUCCUUUGCAUUUCUGAAACUAAAUAAGGUCUAUUGGGCUAAAUUCUGUCCUAACAGACAUCUAAGUUUUUAGUAAGAUUUCUUAUGUUAUACGUUCAAUAAAAGGAUUCAUUCUACCUUCCAAUGGCUACACCUAUCUUAGUAGCAGGUAGAAUUUCUGUUUAAUGAAACUAGCUUUGCUUUUGAGGUAGGAUGCUCUGUUAGUAUGAAUGGGGGCUGCCAUGCACUGCUUGACCUUGAUACAAUUUUUAAUUCACUUGUUCCAACUGAGCAAUAGAAUCCAAUUAAAAAAAAAAAAAAAGUAAGUAUUUCCUCACAUUAAGGACAAAUUCUCAGCGUGGGCAGAGACUAAACCACUGCUAGUAAAUUGGUGGUAGAAUUCAUCCUGAUAUAAAGAACAAUUUCAUUUUGCCUAUAUUUAGACAUCCUUUCCAUUCAGUAGCCAUUCUCACCAGUAUAUCUAUUAGAAGAAUAUGGAGGCAGUGGACUUCUGUUCUUUCUACUUUAAUGUGGGAUUGCCUGUUGCACUAUUUGUAUGGCAGGAUAGCAGCCCUGUGAUUGUGCCAGGCACCUAUACAUUGUGUAGCUCUAAUUUCAGUUUCCCUUUUAUAAUCUCUCAAAUUAGUGAAUAAAGUAUGGCACUGUAAAGUAGGUACUACUGAUUCUUAUUUUACAUAUGCGCAAGGAAAUAUCAAGAAUUAAUAGCCAGGCUGGGAAUUCAGGAUACGGGUUAUUGAUUGUACCUGAAUGACACUUGGCACAGUGGUGGGCACUGAGGUAUCUGAAAUAAGUUCAGUAAACUGCAUCCCAAGUGGUGCCAGAUAUAUCACUUCCAAAAGCAUUUGUCUGCUAUAUAGAAAUGAUAAAGAAAAUCUAUAUAGUCUACCUAGUGCUCAGCAAAGCCUUCAAUACUGUCUCCCACAGUAUUCUCCUGGAGAAGCUGGCAGCCUGUGGCUUGGACAGGUACACUCUUUGCUGAGUGAAGAACUGGAUGGAUGGCCAGGUGCAGAGGGUGGUGGUGAAUGGAGUUAAAUCCAGCUGGCCACUGGUCAUGAGUGGUGUUCCCCAGGGCUCAGUAUUGGGGCCUGUCCUGUUCAAUAACUUUACUGAUGACCCAAAUGAGGGCAUUGAGAGUAUCCCCAUUAAGUUUGCAGAUGACACCAAGUUGGUCAGAAGUGUCAGUCUGCCUAGGGGAAGGAAGGUCCUGCAGAGCAAUCUGAAUAGUCUGGGUAGCUGGGUUGAGGCCAGUGGGAUGAGGUUCAACAAGACCAAAUGCCAGGUCCUGCUCUUUGGCCACAAUAACCCCAGGCAAUGCUACAGGCUGGGACAGAGUGGCUGAAAGACUGUGUAGAGGAAAUGGACCUGGGCUGUUGGUCGAUGCUUGGCUGAACUCAUGUUCAGUGUGCCUAGGUAGCCAAGAAGGCCAAUGGCAACCUGGCUCGUCCCUCUGUACUCAGCCUUGGUAAGGCUGCAUCUCAAGUAGUGUUCACUUUUGGGCCCCUUACUACAAGAAAGACAUAGAGACCCUGGAGCAUGUCCAGAGAAGGGCAGUGAAGUUGGUGAUUGGUCUGGAGCACAAGUCUUAUGAGGAGUGGCUGAAGGAACUGGGAUUAUUUAGUCUGGAGAAGAGGAGACUCAGGUGUGACCUAAUCGCACUCUACAACUACCUCAUGGGAGGUUGUGGUGAGGUGGGGAUUGGCCUCUUCUCUCAUGUAACUGUAGAUAGGACUAGAGGGAAUGGCCUCAGAUUGCGCUAGGCGAGGUUCAGGUUGGAUGUUAGGAAAUACUUCUUCUGCAAGAGAGUGGUCGGGCACUGGAAUGGUCUGCCCAGGGAGGUGGUGGAGUCACCGUUCCUGGAGGUGUUCAAAAAACAUUUAGAUGUUGUAAUGAGGGACAUGGUUUAGUGUAAAAUAUUGGUGAUAGGUGGAUGGCUGAACUGGAUUAUCUUAGAGGUCUUUUCCAACCUUGCUGAUUCUAUGAUUCUAGGAGGGCACUGACAUCUGUCAGAGGGAAUUUUCGAUGAAGGGGACUGACCACUCACAGCAGGCAGUGAGCAGAGAAGAGGCAGAUGCAGCUCCAUCCCUGUGAGGUGCAUCCACUGGCAGUGUACUGCAAGACUGUGAAGAUGAAGUGAGGCCUAAAAGCCCAAGACAAUUGGUCUUCACUCACUGUGGCCCAGGCAAGCCGUAAGGUUGGACACUCACAAGGAAAAUUUCUGUUAUAGCUAUCUGUGACAUUGCUUACUUGAGGUGAACAACUGGCUGGAUUUCAAAGAGGGCGUUGCUGAAUUGCCAUUGGACACAGGAAGGCACUGUUGUGCCCUGGCAUCCAGAUAGUAUUCACCCAGACUCUCUGGGAUUCAACAGCUGUUUUCCAACACAAGCUCUUCCAAACAAAGCAGUCUGGCUGAAUACACCAUCACUCCUAGAUCAGAAACUUCCCAUCUAGAUCUUACUUCAGAGCCAGAUCAGAAGAAGAGUAUUGUUUCUGUGUAUCUUAUGCAGGCUUAUCCUUACCCAACUCCUGAUGAAUUCACAAAAAGCAGUUAGGAAAUUAGCUACUAAAAUCUCCUCUCAAGCAAGGAGUGAAAUAUGGGUCUGUUUGCAGAAUACUAUAUUUUGUUCCCAUUUUAGUUUAUUGUAGCGUGUUAUCUAAUUGCAGAAGUUCUCAGUUUUCAAAUGAAAGUCUCUCUCUUACUUGAAUUCUGCUAAGUACAUUAUUUCAAAUAUAACUUGUCAUACUGAGAAAAAGAGAUUAAGCUGUGAGUAAAAGAGAUGAGCUGUGAACUGAAAAACCAAUUCCUGCCUUUUAGCAGUCUUAAAUCAGUAUCUUUCAAUUUCAUUCUUCUUUUCUGGUAAAAGAAACAAAACUGUGUUGACUUUGUCUUUGAUAUUCAUCUCUUGAUCUAAUCUCCAGAUUUCCCAUAAAAUAAUUGUUAUAUAUAAUGUUAGAUCCUGAAAUUUGGAUAUCUCAUUACUUGUGUGACAAAGAAUUUGUUUAUUUUAUACGUUAAAAAAGUAAAAAAAAAAAAAAAAAAAAGGUAUUAUGAAAACUGAAAGGAAGAUGCAUAAAGCUAUGUUAUGGCCAUUGUAUAAGAAUGUCCUAGAAUAAUGCUUUUCUUCCAAGUUCUUGUGAUGAAUUCAAAUACAAGAACUGAUGUUUAAGAAGAGCUUUCAGGACUGGAAGCCCCAACUUGCAGAAUGAAUUACAGGUAACCACUGGAAUCUCUACAGCUAUUAGAAAUCACCAAUGCAUGCAAGAAAAACAGCUGAUUCCCAUACUGAACUUUAAUAACAAUUAAAAACAACGACAACAACAACAACAACAGCAACAAAAAUAAAACAUGAAAGCCAUGGAUCUGGUUAACCUAACUCCCAUCUGAAAGGCAAUAUUAAUUCUCUACACUGGACACAGAGAUUUACUGUGAUUCAUGUAAUUGCCACCAUAUAGUAAUAUUGUAUCAUGACCUUACUACACAUUUCUCAACAAAUUACUCCCAAUUUUUCACUCAUUUUCAUUGACAACUGAAAUGUUUCCUUUCAUGUUAUUAGAAAUAAAAACUUCCA
ensembl:lncRNA